CCCUUAGAUGUUCUGGGCCGCACGCGUGCUACACUGAGCGGAUCAGCGGGUCAGGUUGCGCGAAAGUGUUUCCUAAUCUUUAAAUCCGCUCGUGAUGGGGAUUGACGGUUGCAAUUUUCCGUCAUGAACGAGGAAUACCUUGUAAGCGCGGGUCAUCAUCCCGCGCUGAAUACGUCCCUGCCCUUUGUACACACCGCCCGUCGCUCCUACCGAUUGAGUGGUCCGGUGAGGCUUUGGGAUCUGAGCGGAAAGAGCGUUUCGCUGUUUCUGCCCGGAAAACUCAGUCGAACCAUAUCAUUUAGAGGAAGGAGAAGUCGUAACA
rnacentral:rRNA from 1 species